GCUUCUUUUCUUAAGGACAAGCUGUGAUGGGGAGGGAAAUAAUAGUACCGAAGUUCCUGAUGUCACACUGCCGAGAAAAGCUUCUAGUGAGAAAACAGCGGCCCGUACCGCAAACCGACACAGGUAGUCGAGGAGAGAAUCCUAAGGUGAGCGAGAGAACUCUCGUUAAGGAACUCGGCAAAAUGACCCCGUAACUUCGGGAGAAGGGGUGCUGAUCAUACGAUCAGCCGCAGUGAAUAGGCCCAAGCGACUGUUUAUCAAAAACACAGGUCUCUGCAAAAUCGUAAGAUGAAGUAUAGGGGCUGACGCCUGCCCGGUGCUGGAAGGUUAAGAGGAGUGCUUAGCGCAAGCGAAGGUACGAAUUGAAGCCCCAGUAAACGGCGGCCGUAACUAUAACGGUCCUAAGGUAGCGAAAUUCCUUGUCGGGUAAGUUCCGACCCGCACGAAAGGCGUAACGAUUUGGGCACUGUCUCAACGAGAGACUCGGUGAAAUUUUAGUACCUGUGAAGAUGCAGGUUACCCGCGACAGGACGGAAAGACCCCAUGGAGCUUUACUGUAGUUUGA
rnacentral:rRNA from 1 species